rnacentral:rRNA from 1 species
AUUGAACGCUGGCGGCAGGCCUAACACAUGCAAGUCGAGCGAGCGGCGGAAGGGUGAGUAAUGUAUGGGGACUGCCCGAUAGAGGGGGAUAAAUACUGGAAACGGUAGCUAAUAACGCACACUAUCGGAUAACCCAUAUGGGAUUAGCUAGUCGGUGGGGUAAUGGCUCACCUAGGCGACGCGCCCUAGAUGGUCUGAGAGGAUGAUCAGCCACACUGGGACUGAGACACGGCCCAGACUCCUACGGAGGCAGCAGUGGGGAAUAUUGCACAAUGGGCGCAAGCCUGAUGCAGCCAUGCCGCGUGUAUGAAGAAGGCCCUAGGGUUGUAAAGUACUUUCAGUCGGGAGGCGUUACCGACAGAAGAAGCACCGGCUAACUCCGUGCCAGCAGCCGCGGUAAUAC